GGAAGGAUCAUUACCGAGAACGGCGCUCCGGCGCCAUCUCCAACCCGUGUGAACCCGUCGUCGUUGCCUUGCCGGACCAGCGCCGCCCCCGGCCUGCUGGGGAGUGUCCGGCAGUGGAACAACCCAACGCUCUCAACGGUAGUCUGAGUAACGUCAAACAAAAAACUUUCAACAACGGAUCUCUUGGUUCUGGCAUCGAUGAAGAACGCAGCGAAAUGCGAAAAGUAAUGUGAAUUGCAGAAUUCAGUGAAUCAUCGAAUCUUUGAACGCACAUUGCGCCCGGCGGCAUUCCGCCGGGCAUGCCUGUUCGAGCGUCAUUUCACCCUCAAGCUCCGCUUGGUCUUGGAGGCUGCCGUCGGCACCUCUGCAACCAGUUGGCGGGACUCGCAGCCUGCGACGAGCAAGAUUCGUCGGCGGGUCGAGGGCCCUCGCCAGAUGACGACUCCUCGAGUUUGACCUCGGAUCAGGUAGGGAUACCCGCUGAACUUAAGCAUAUCAAUAAGCGGAGGAAAAGAAACCAACAGGGAUUGCCUCAGUAACGGCGAGUGAAGCGGCAACAGCUCAAAUUUGAAAUCUGCCAGCAGGCCGAGUUGUAAUUUGGAGAGGAUGCUCCGGGCGCGGUUGGGUCCAAGUUCCUUGGAACAGGACGUCGCAGAGGGUGAGAAUCCCGUACGACCCGCCACCAAGCCCGUGCGGGGCUCCUUCGACGAGUCGAGUUGUUUGGGAAUGCAGCUCCAAGCGGGAGGUAUAUUUCUUCUAAAGCUAAAUACCGGCCAGAGACCGAUAGCGCACAAGUAGAGUGAUCGAAAGAUGAAAAGCACUUUGGAAAGAGAGUUAAAGAGUACGUGAAAUUGUUGAAAGGGAAGCGUCUGCGGCCAGACUUGGCGGCGGUUGCUCAGCCGGUCGCCGACCGGUGCACUCUUCCGCCGCCAGGCCAGCAUCAGUUUGGGUGGUCGGACAAAGGCGAGGGGAACGUGGCUCCCAGGAGUGUUAUAGCCCCUCGCACAAUGCGGCCCGCCCGGACUGAGGCCUGCGUUCUCGUGGAUGCUGGCGUAAUGGCAGCCGACGACCCGUCUUGAAACACGGACCAAGGAGUCUAACGUGCCUGCGAGUGUUUGGGUGUCAAACCCGUGCGCGCAAUGAAAGUGAACGGAGGUGGGAGCCUCGGCGCACCAUCGACCGAUCCCGAUGUCCUCGGAAGGAUUUGAGUAUGAGCAUGCGUGCUGGGACCCGAAAGAUGAUGAACUAUGCCUAGAUAGACUGAAGCCGCCCGAAAGGGCGGUGGAAGGUCGCAGCGGUUCUGACGUGCAAAUCGAUCGUCAAAUCUGGGUAUAGGGGCGAAAGUGAGUUUACCCGUCAGAUUGAGAGCAGAGAUGGAAUGCUAACGGUCCCAGGACUAAUCGAAUCAUCUAGUAGCUGGUUCCGGC
rnacentral:misc_RNA from 1 species